CAAUAGCGUAUAUUAAAGUUGUUGCAGUUAAAAAGCUCGUAGUUGGAUUUCUGGUUGAAGCGACCGGUCGGGCGUUGAUUCGUCUGCACUGGAGUCGGUUUUGGCCAUCCUCUAGGAAAGUGCGUCUGGUAUUAAGUUAUCGGGCGUAUGAUCCUGGUCUUUUACUGUGAAAAAAUUAGAGUGUUUAAAGCAGGCCUUCGCCUUGAAUACAUUAGCAUGGAAUAAUAAGAUAGGACUUUGGUCUAUUUUGUUGGUUUGCAGACCGAAGUAAUGAUUAAUAGGGAUAGUUGGGGGUAUUUAUAUUCCGAUGUCAGAGGUGAAAUUCUUAGAUUUUCGGAAGAUAAACUCAUGCGAAAGCAUUUACCAAGGAUGUUUUCAUUAA
rnacentral:rRNA from 1 species